rnacentral:rRNA from 1 species
AACGCGAAGAACCUUACCUGGGCUUGACAUGUGAGUGACAGGUGUGGAAACACACCCUCCCUUCGGGGCACUUUCACAGGUGGUGCAUGGCUGUCGUCAGCUCGUGUCGUGAGAUGUUGGGUUAAGUCCCGCAACGAGCGCAACCCCCGUCGCAUGUUGCCAGCAUUCAGUUGGGGACUCAUGCGAGACUGCCGGUGACAAACCGGAGGAAGGUGGGGAUGACGUCAAGUCCUCAUGCCCCUUAUGUCCAGGGCUACACACGUGCUACAUUGGCGCAUACAGAGGGCUGCGAUACCGCGAGGUGGAGCGAAUCCCUUAAAGUGCGUCUCGGUUCGGAUUGCAGGCUGAAAUUCGCCUGCAUGAAGGCGGAGUUGCUAGUAAUCGCGGAUCAGCAUUGCCGCGGUGAAUACGUUCCCGGGCCUUGUA